rnacentral:rRNA from 1 species
UACGGAGGGUGCAAGCGUUAAUCGGAAUUACUGGGCGUAAAGCGUGCGUAGGCGGUUCGUUAAGUCUGUUGUGAAAGCCCCGGGCUCAACCUGGGAAUGGCAAUGGAUACUGGCGAGCUAGAGUGUGUCAGAGGAUGGUGGAAUUCCCGGUGUAGCGGUGAAAUGCGUAGAGAUCGGGGAGGAACAUCAGUGGCGAAGGCGGCCAUCUGGGGAAGAUACUGACGCUGAGGUGCGAAAGCGUGGGGAGCAAACAGG